ACGAUAUAAUAGCUUACAGGAAAAAGAAAAACUUUCAGUGAUGCAUUCAAAUGAACUUAAGUUGAAGGAGGAAGAAAUAAAAACAAUGAAGAAAGAUAUGGAAAAGACGAAGCUGGAAGUUCAAUCUUUAUACGCAAAAAAUAGAGAAUAUGAAAAGAAUUUUAAAAACACCAACCAAGACUCUGAAAUCCUACGCUUGAAAUAUCAAGUAGAUGAUAUGAAAGAAGAAAUUCACGCCUUGAAAAAGCAAGCAGACAAUUUGAGAUUAGAAAAAAUCCAAAUUUAGAGAAAAUUUGAAUUUGACCUAAAGAGAGAAGAUUCCAGAACAGCAUCUGAAAUAAACCGACUGAGGCAAGUAAUUUUGCAGCUAGAAAAUCGGAAAUAUGGAACUCAUAUAGCGUCCUUAUCAUGGAAAAAAGGAGCUGCAUU